GGACAACACAGAAUUGUGAACCCAAUACUGGUUUAUUCAAAUAGUUUGUAAUUCAAAGCAAUUGCUGCUCCCCAGACAGGAAUUUACAAAUGUCACAUUUGAUGGGAAGAUACUGUGUCAUUCCAAGGGGAAAUCAGGUCUGGAAAGGGCCUUCUGGUUGGAGAACCUCAUGUGUCCUGAAACAGCUCCAAAGCAGGCCAAAUCAAACAAAACAAAGGAGAACCACCCUAUGAACUUAAAAGUCAUAUCCCUACUCCAGCCACUCACAACAGUAUUGGCCACUUGUCACAGCAACACAGUGGAAACCACCACAGAGCCACUGUUUUG
rnacentral:lncRNA from 1 species